AGAGUUUGAUCCUGGCUCAGAUUGAACGCUGGCGGCAUGGAUUAGGCAUGCAAGUCGAACGAUGAAGCAGUGCUUGCACUGUGAAUUAGUGGCGAAAGGGUGAGUAACACGUGAGUAAUCUGCCUUCAACUCGGGGAUAGCCUUUGGAAACGAAGAUUAAUACCGGAUGUGAAGUUUAAAUCGCAUGAUUUUAACUUUAAAAUUUUUUGGUUGGAGAUGGGCUCGCGUCCCAUUAGCUAGUUGGUAAGGUAACGGCUUACCAAGGCAACGACGGGUAGGUGGUCUGAGAGGAUGGUCACCCACACUGGAACUGAGACACUGUCCAGACUCCUACGGGAGGCUGCAGUCGAGAAUCUUCCGCAAUGGGCGAAAGCCUGACGGAGCAAUGCCGCGUGAAUGAUGAAGGCCUUCGGGUUGUAAAAUUCUGUCACCUGGGACGAAAUUUGACGGUACCAGGAGAGGAAGUGACGGCUAACUACGUGCCAGCAGCCGCGGUAAUACGUAGGUCACGAGCGUUAAUCGGAUUUAUUGGGCGUAAAGGGUCCGCAGGGGGUUUUAUAAGUUUGACGUGAAAUGUCGAGGCUCAACCUCG
rnacentral:rRNA from 1 species